CACAAGUCACACAUGUCACAAAACUUCAUCAGUCCUCUCUCUCUCUCGGGCGACUCAAGAACGUUAUGCCAGAUCUCACCAGAUGUCGUUUAAUGACAGAUAUCAACUUGUGAUUGGAUCUGGUGGCUGAUAGGUCGUGGAGCGAAACCCUAACAACGUCGACGAAGCUGAACGGGUCUUAAUGACACCGAAUCAAUGAUUUUCUCUCUAUCGACACAAGAUCCACUGGGGUUGACCUCUAGGUCACCUGCUUCAGUUCUGGUUGGUUUCUCGAGCAUGUCCAUCGCAACUGAGACGAGAUCCCGGUGGUCGAUGGUGGUUGAGUGGCAUUGGCCAAAUUAGGAGGCACUUUGCAUAUCUCGAGGAAAAUGAUGGGAAAAGUGGGCCCGUUAUACCUCCAGAGAGACGCUUAAAGCCACUGCUGUUGAAUCCAAUGAGACACUUGAUGUCACAAGUGAUUCAGUUACAUCAUAUGCCGACCACCUCGAACUCAACACGAUACUCUUCUUAACAUGUUGUUCGAUGAAGGAACUUACACGAAACUCUACAGUUACAAGCAUCUUAUCAAUGGUUUCGCUGCUGACGUUUCUACCGAACAGAAACUUUACCGUUGGGAUGAUGAAUUUUCCAGUAAGUAGACAAACAGCCAGAAGGGUACAAAAAGCAAGCAACGGGAUCGAAGUAAAAGGGUAAACGAUUGUGUUAAUGUACGUGAGCCUCUGAGCCUCUGGAGCGUUUUCAGCUUCUCGGCCCACGCGUACCAGAGGGGGCAAUGUCGGCUCAUGAAAAUCUCAACUGAACCAAGAGCCUGUCGAAGCACCUGGUGCAACCUGUCGGACAAAUUGAUCGGUGCAGACCCCUUGAAUGCGGCCCUUUAUGGCAUACAGUAAACCGAUUUGCAUCCUCAACCAUGGUGGUCGGAGAACUCGCCCGGGUUCAUGGUGGAGGGGUAGGUCAGUCGGUAGCCAAAGAUUUGUAUUCAAAUGCUAUGACAAUCCUAAUACCGUCUCACUGUAUGGACGGGUCGGGUGGGUUAGGUAACAUGUCAGGUGGUUUGGUCCAUCAACGCUAUGUGUAGGCGAGCAGGAGUUGCAGCAGAAGCAAGAGCCAUAGUAGAAGUCGAAGCCGAAGCAGAAGGUAUGAACUGUGAAAUUCAGUUUUUGUUCUUAGAUUCAUAGAAGACGUUCUUAGAUUCAAUUUUUGCUCUUGAAUUCAAUUCUUGUUCUUAAACUCAAUUUUCGUACUUGAAUUCAUAAAGUUUAGAUUGUUAUGGCUUUAAAAAAAUCAAUAUUUGUUGUUCAUAGAUUCCUAGAAGUUGUCGU
rnacentral:lncRNA from 1 species